CUACGGGGGGCUGCAGUCGAGAAUCUUCCGCAAUGGGCGCAAGCCUGACGGAGCAAUGCCGCGUGAGGGAUGACGGCCCUAGGGUUGUAAACCUCUGUCAGAAGGGACGAAGAACGUGACGGUACCUUCAGAGGAAGCCAUGGCUAACUACGUGCCAGCAGCCGCGGUAAUACGUAGAUGGCGAGCGUUAUUCGGAUUUACUGGGCGUAAAGGGUCCGUAGGGGGUCUGCCAAGUCUGAUGUGAAAUCCUGCGGCUCAACCGCGGAACUGCAUUGGAAACUGGUGGACUAGAGUGUGCGAGGGGUGAGCGGAAUUCCUGGUGUAGCGGUGGAAUGCGUAGAUAUCAGGAAGAACACCGAUGGCGAAGGCGGCUCACUGGCGCAUCACUGACCCUGAGGGACGAAAGCGUGGGUAGCAAACAGGAUUAGAUACCCUCGUAGUC
rnacentral:rRNA from 1 species